UGCAAAGUUCUAUGUCUCCAGCUACACUUGUUCUGCUCCACCCACUCCCUUCCAAACAGAAGGACUAGACAGGGGGCAAAUAGAUAGCAAAGGUUUUUGUAAUGAUGCCUGAGGUGGUGUCCGACAGAAAAGCUCACCUUUGGAAGGGGCACUCAACUCAUCGUGGAACCAAGAAAUCAGUCUCCUGCCAAACCAAGUGUUUUCGUCAUGAAAAAUGGGACGAAUGUCGCUUGUCUGGUGAAGGAUUUCUACCCCAGGGCUAUAAACAUAAAUCUCAAAUCGUCCAAGAAAAUAAUAGAAUUUGACCCUGCUAUCGCCGUCUCUCCCAGUGGGAAGUACAGCGCUGUUAAGCUUGGUCGGUAUGAAGAUGCAGAUUCAGUGACAUGUUCAGUUCAACACGACAAAGGGACCUUUGAGUCCACUUCCUUUGAAAACAUUCAAAGAAGGUCAAAGAGAAGUUCAGGUGAUCUAAAAACAGUGGAACCUGAAAACAAAAAGCAAACUUCAGGGAGCUGCCAUGAACCCAAAGUUCACGCCGAGAAGGUGAACAUGAUGUCCCUCACGGUGCUGGGGCUCCGAAUGCUGUUUGCCAAGAGCGUUGCCAUCAAUUUUCUCUUGACUGCCAAGUUAUUUUUCUUUUAAGGCUGACUGGCAUGAGAAGACUACACUCCCUGAAAGAAACCAAACGCCUGCAGAGGUGCUGUCUUCUAGGCUUCCAACUUCUGGGUGAUUUAGGUGGACCUGUCCCAGCCUUGCUUAAAAGACUGCUACCCAAACCAGUUUUCCUUUGCAGGCAACAAACCCAGCUCAUCCUCCAGCCUAGUGGAAAGAAGAAAGUCCAGCAGAGUGAAGUUUAUAGUCCUAACUGCUUUCUAUGCUGCUUUAAAAAGGAAUAUAGAGAUAUAAAGGGAUAUAGGAUUCAUUUUUCUAUUCCUAUAACUGAUACACUUUGAAAGGGAUGCUUUGUUCCUUGAACUUUCUUUUGCCUCCAGAAGUAGAAAAUGGGAGCUGAUGAGUUCCCAGCUGCAUUCUCCAAGAGGAAAAUAGACCCUGGGGGAAGGACAGCAGGUGUCUUUUGCCUAAAUAUGAAAGGCUCUGCUCAAGCCAGCACUAGAUUUGCCACCAAACUGUCAUUCUCAUCCACAAAAGCACUUUCUGCUUCUCCUAGUACUUUGCAAACAAAAUUACAUUUGACUUCCCUGAUACUCACCGAGCAGGGAAGGAGUUUCUAAAUUCUAAUCUAAAUUAACUCUCCAAGCUAUUAGUAGAGAUCAGAGUAAAAUAUAGAGGAAAUGCACUUCUUUCUCUUAAUUGAUUUAACAAACAUGAAUUACUCCCUCUAUGUUCCAGGCACCAUGCUGAGGGUGCAAAGAUAAAUAAGACGCAGGCCUUGCUUUCAAGAACUCACUGUGCAAGUGUUUAUGGAGGGAGAGAUAGGAAUGAAACCCCCAGAUUUCCCCUGUAAAAACAAUAUCUUUCUGUCUUUGCCUGCCAAUCUGUGCACUGGAAGUUUGAAGUCAUUGGACACUGACUCUUGCCUGGGCCUUUGGUAUUAUUGGUUUUCUCCUGUUCUUCUCUGAUGCUGUCUCUGUUGCAUUUAUUAAAGUGCAUUGUGUGUGCCUCGCC